AGUGAACGCUGGCGGUAGGCCUAACACGUGCCAGUCGAACGGUAGCACAGUAAGAGCUUGCUCUUACGGGUGGCGAGUGGCGGACGGGUGAGGAAUACAUCGGAAUCUACUUUUUCGUGGGGGAUAACGUAGGGAAACUUACGCUAAUACCGCAUACGACCUACGGGUGAAAGCAGGGGAUCUUCGGACCUUGCGCGAUUGAAUGAGCCGAUGUCGGAUUAGCUAGUUGGCGGGGUAAAGGCCCACCAAGGCGACGAUCCGUAGCUGGUCUGAGAGGAUGAUCAGCCACACUGGAACCGAGACACGGUCCAGACUCCUACGGGAGGCAGCAGUGGGGAAUAUUGGACAAUGGGCGCAAGCCUGAUCCAGCCAUACCGCGUGGGUGAAGAAGGCCUUCGGGUUGUAAAGCCCUUUUGUUGGGAAAGAAAAGCAGCAGGUUAAUACCCCGCUGUUCUGACGGUACCCAAAGAAUAAGCACCGGCUAACUUCGUG
rnacentral:rRNA from 1 species